rnacentral:rRNA from 1 species
UACAGAGGUCUCAAGCGUUGUUCGGAUUCAUUGGGCGUAAAGGGUGCGUAGGUGGCGGGGUAAGUCAGGUGUGAAAUUUCGGAGCUUAACUCCGAAACUGCAUUUGAUACUGCCUUGCUUGAGGACUGGAGAGGAGACUGGAAUUCACGGUGUAGCAGUGAAAUGCGUAGAGAUCGUGAGGAAGACCAGUGGCGAAGGCGGGUCUCUGGACAGUUCCUGACACUGAGGCACGAAGGCCAGGGGAGCAAAUGGG